rnacentral:rRNA from 1 species
UAUAUAUAAAUAAAAUUCUUAGUUGGGGCAACUAAAAAAUAUAUUAAACUUUUUUUUUUAAAAAAAUGACCCAUUAUUAAUGAUAAUAUGAAAAAAAUACUCUAGGGAUAACAGCGUAAUAAUUUUUGAUAGAUCUUAUAGACAAAAUAGUUUGCGACCUCGAUGUUGGAUUAGGAUACUUUUUUAAUGAAGAUGUUAAAAAAAGAAGUUUGUUCAACUUUUAAAUUCCUACUUGAUCUGAGUUCAGACCAA